UUUAAUAUGGCAGAUUAAGUGCUAUAGAUUUAAACUCUAUAAAUAAAGAAUUAAAUAAUUUUCUUUUAUUAAUA
rnacentral:tRNA from 1 species